ACCUUGUCUCCAGCUGAGGCUGAGGGAGCACGCCUUUGUUUAGGGCCUCUGGUCUCGGCCUGUGUCAGAGCUUGCAGGGCAGUUGGAGCUCUCUCUGUAGGGACAACUGGUUUUAGAGGACUCCUGCUUUCCCCAGUUGUACCAGUUCAGGUGUAAACCUGACAUGCGAUAGGAUCCGGCAUGGUGUCCACACUCAUUAGACACAUGGCAUCGUUUCCAAAGAUACAGGCCCCUGCACUUCAGCCUGAUGCCAGAGGGUAUACCCAUAAACCUGCUUGACUUGGAAAUCAAAGAGAGAUUUUGGCAGAGAAAAAUCUGAGGCACCUAAUGUUAGAGUACAGCAAAGAGAGCAAGAAUGGUAUUUGUUUAGAAAAACCCUCAGAAUCAUUGCGAACCAUUCAGACAGCACAGCAGCUUCUGGAGGUGAAGGCUGAUCAGACAUGGGCUGAGUUUCCAAGUUCUCAUGGGCACAUGUGCUUUCCUGCGCUUAGACUUCUCUCCUCCAGGCUCCCACAGUUCAGGGGAACCAGCGCUCAGAGACGGGCGCAAUAUUUCUCUCAACUUCAACAGCGCAGAACAUAUUGACUCCUGGGUCCUGCUGAUGGGACUUGCUUCCCGGCUCCACUUCUUAAGUGUUGUGACCGUAUUUGUUCCACUCAGCCUCAAGCCUUCCGUUGUGAGUGGGAGGCAGUGGGAGUGCCUGGCUCAUAAAACUGCGGAUCCACCCGAGAAUCAGAAAGGCGAGGCUGUGUCUGAGACCAGGCUAAAGAUACCAGAAACCUUUCCUAUUAAAUUUAAACACUGAACAAUGAUAUAAUCAAAGCUUACACAAUGACCAAGCCAAGAAAUAAAAGAAUAAAGGAAUGGUGAAGGCAAAGGCAGCCUGGAGGUGGGAAAGACCUGUUUUCCACUAAAUGAGGAGCAGCUCCCCCAUGACAGCAGGCAGUGGCGAGGUGAAACGCCUUUCUCCCCCAGAGGUGCUGAGGGCUCCAGACCCUCAGGACCAGCAAAGGCAGUGAGUGAUUCAUUCCAUAAAUCCAUGCAUGGCGGAUUUAAAAUGGGAAUAUUUUGGAGACAAAUGUUGAGAUUAUCUGAGCCCUUCAUUCAACGUUGCAAUGCAAUGUUUCAGAAGGUACAUAGAGGCUGUUUUUUGAGCAGAAUGCCUGGAGAGCUGGAUGACCUUCAGUUGCUAUUGGUUGAAAGGGUAAUAUUUGUAUAUCAUUUUAAGUAUUUCUACACUUUUCUGAAAUGAAUUUAAAAGUCACAUUGUACAUACAAACAUAUGAUGAAAUAUUGAAAAUCAUACCUGCUUCUUAGAUUGGAAGGUUACAUUUCAUUAAGAUGGUAAGUCUUAAGCCAGGCGCGGUGGCUCACGGCUAUAAUCACAGCAAUUUGGGAGGCCGAGGCGGGUGGCUCACCUGAGGUUGGGAGUUCGAUACCAGCCUGACCAACAUGGAGAAACCCUGUCUCUACUAAAAACACAAAAUUAGUCAGAUGUGGUGGCGCAUGCCUGUAAUCCUAGCUACUCAGAAGUCCGAAGCAGGAGAAUCGCUUGAACCUGGGAGGCUGAGGUUGCAGUGAGCCAAGAUCAUGUCAUUGCACUCUAGCUUGAGCAACAAGAGUGAAACGCCAUCUCAAAAAAAAAAAAAAAAAAAAAAAAA
rnacentral:lncRNA from 1 species